rnacentral:lncRNA from 1 species
GGAAGGACCGGAAGGCCCUGGGGUCGCGGAUUCAGGCCGUAGCGCCGCCUCUGGGGCUGAUUCGGGCCCGCCCUGCGGCUGCGUUCGGCCCUUGGGAACUGGAGCCACUUUUCAGCUGCCGCUGGCUCCCAUCUCAGCGCUUUUGCACCGAGAGUCGGUGUUUUUGCACGCUUCUCCCAGGUCAUCCAAUCAAAAGCCUCUGCUCCACCGGGCCAACCCACAGAGGGAUCAAAGGGGGCCUGAGGAUCCUGAAGGUGAAAGCCCUGCCGGAGGCUCCAAGGCUCCCCCAGGAAGGCCUUUGUGAUGAUUAUGAAGCCUGGGCAGGCACCCAAUCCCAAGCUGGGCCCAAUCACCCACCUCCUCCUUCCCUGGAAGCGGCCAGCGAUCCCCCUGCGGCCUUGGCAAGAGACCUUUAAAGAUGCAGGUGGAACCCGGAGAAAGCCACGCAGAGAAGCCGGGCCAGUGUUUGACCGACUGUGCCUGGAACUGGGCCAGGGAGAGGAAGUUACAGAGGGUUUGCAAAAUAACUUCCCCUCGCUUCUGAAGGCAGGUGAGUGAGCCCAACCUGCAGUAGGAGGGACAAAGACUAGACGGCGAGAGGGAUUUUAUUUGCCUACAGACAGCAGUGUUGAGUGAGCUAGGUUAGAAACCCUCUUUUGGAGAUCUGUAAGAAUGAUAACUGCCCAGUUAGGUGCCCGGUGCCCAGUACAUUAGCUUCCCAUGUCCUACAAUAAUCCCAUUGAGUCAGUGUUAUUAUCCCCAGAUGAAGAAUCUCUACUCAGAGCUGGGGAAGCCCCUGGCCCAGUGUUAUUCCGCAGAGUUAAUGGCAGUGGGCAGAACCUCCAUCCAGUGGGCAGUUCUGACUCUUGGACAACCACCUUCGGGGGGGGGGGGCGGUGGCCCCAAUUUAGAGCCUCCUCCGCCCCCCAGUGCCUUUCAGGGAUUCUUGUGUUUAAUUCGUGGUGUUGAGUCACCUAGGAUUCCUGAUGGCUGUGGAUGCUGUUGAUCACUGGGUACCAUUAGCUGGGGGCUUCCAUCGAGUUACAAAGAGGGCUCAUAAGCCACUCAGCAGAAGUCCCCAGUGUCUUGCCUUCAGGACCGGGGGCCUUAUUCAGAAAGGGAGCCAUCACAUGGGAAGUUCUCAUCUUGAGGGCGUGGGGGGAUGGGGUCUGGGUAAGGAGACAGGAAUUGCACAAGCAUUGCCAUUCAUUCUUUUUUUUUUUUAAAUUGAAGUAUAGUUGAUUUACCAUGUUUAAGGUGUACCAGUAGCACCUUGUUUAUUUUAUAAAUAGUAGCGGGUAUAUGUUAAUUCCAAAUUGCUGAUUUAUCCCUCCCCUCCUUUCCCCUUUGGUAACCAUAAGUUUGUUUUCUGUGUCUGAAUCUGUUUCUGUUUUGUAAAUAAAUUCACUUGUAUCAUUUUUUAUUAGAUUCCACGUAUAAGUGAUAUCCUAUGAUAUUUGUGUUUGACUUACUUCACUUAGUAUAAUAUUCUCUAGUUCCACCCAUGUUGCUGCAAAUGGCAUUAUUUCAUUCUUUUUUUAUGACUGAGUAAUAUUCCAUGGUAGAUAUACAACAUCUUCUUUAUCCAUUCCUCUGCCACAGCCAUAGCAAUGCUAGAUCCCAGCCUCGUCUGCCACGUCCACCACAGCUCAGGACAACGCCAGAUCCUUAACCCACUGAGCAAGGCCAGGGAUCAAACCUGAAACCUCAUGUUUCCUAGUCGGAUUUGUUUCUACUGCACCACGAUGGGAACUCCUC